GGCACCCAAAGAGAAGAAGACCUCAGCCGCGAAGAAGCCCGCAGCUCAUCCUCUCUACAAUGAGAUGAUCAACGAGGCAAUUACUUCGCUGAAGGAGCGGGGUGGAUCAAGCCCACAAGCAAUUGCUAAGUUUAUUGAAGACAAGUACAAGGCUCACCUCCCGGCCUUCUUUAAGAAGACGAUCCUUGUCCAGCUAAGGAAGCUUACUGCAGCUGGUAAGCUCACCAAGGUGAAGUACUCCUACAA
rnacentral:misc_RNA from 1 species